rnacentral:lncRNA from 1 species
CCAGGAGCGGUCACCAAGUGAAGAUUCACAUCCCCAAAUGUGGUGAUUAAUUUCUUUAACAUCAAAUGAGGAGACAAACUUAUCACACAAGUCAGAGUUAUACUUAAACUAAAUCUUUACUAACUUAUUAAUAAGGGAGCAGGUCAAUACAACACGCAAAUAUAGGGUGAAUCAAUUGAGUGCUCUACGAUAAUGAUGGCUGGUCGACGAAUCACUCCCAGAUGAUUCGUUGAGAGAUGAAUCACCCCCAGAUGACUCGUUGAGAACCACGAUACAAAAGUACAAAGGUAUUUUAAAGCCAAGAUACACCCCUUUCAACCUACAUGACAAACAACCGAUGAAUAGAAUGGGUCACAAGCUUAAGAUUUGUAUGAAAGAUGCUUCUAAUUCUCAGCAGACAGUAUCUGCUGUAAAAACAGUACUCUUUGUGUAGAGACCAGGGUCUGGCCCUGGGGUCAUCUCUCCCUGGUACCAUAUAGAACAGAAACAUUAACUCAUGUUCUGGAAUGCAGUCUCUUUAGGUUUAAUCACCCAAAAGACAUUGUAAAUCUCCUGUCAGUGUUUUCUCCCAGAGGCCCAUCCUCAGUAGAACACAGACAUAAUAGUUAUAAGAACCCUCUAUUCUGUUGCAUAAAACAACCAUUUGAUGCAAUAAAAGUAUUAUAACAAAGUUGCAGUUUUGCUCUCUCAGUGUCCACUGAAAGUUGACUAGUAACAACAACUGGGACCUAAAAGACACCCACCAUGAGACCCACUAAAUCUGCCCAAGAAGAGGAAAACAAAAGAAAAACCCACACCAAACUUAAAGACAGGAAGCAAACCAAAAAGGUGGAGCAACUAAAGGUGUUGACUCUCCACAUGUAUCAAGACAACUGGAGCACUGGGCCAGACACUCUUAAAUAGAACCUGGACCAGCUCAGGUGAAACACCUUCCCACUAACGAGAUGGACAAGCCAGCACAGGUGUAACACAUACUGACUAACGAGGUGACACCAAUCAGUGCGUCCUACGUGCUAACGAGCUAGACGUGCUGACGGAGCUAGACGUGCUAACGAGCUAGACGGGCUAACGAGCUAGACGGGCUAACGAGCUAGACGUGCUAACGAGCUAGACGGGCUAACGAGCUAGACGGGCUAACGAGCUAGACGGGCUAACGAGCUAGACCUGCUAACGAGCUAGACGUGCUAACGAGCUAGACGGGCUAACGAGCUAGACGUGCAAAAAUCCAAACAUCAAAACAUAUAUGGAAAAAUCAAAGACUGUAACACCGUAAGAGAAUGCUCACCACCAACAGAAAAUAACUUCUAUUUCACAUUAUAAUCAACUACAAUGCUUCACCUUCACCAAUAUAAACAUGGUGUCUACUGGCUGUCAACAAUUAAAAACAAGAAAAAAACGUAUUUUUUCCCCACUAGCUUCUAGAACUCUCGUCCCCUUGGAACGAGCCCGAACAAAACUCAUCUUUAAUACGGAAAAACGUGCAGUCAAAAUAAGAUCCAUGGCAACUCACUGGCUAAACGCAAAACACAAAUCUUUUUGACUGUCCAACCUUGAGACAAUCAGAAACUAAAUUGUCCUCGCCAUGGACACAAGCACCAGAAACGCUGUUGUUUUGACAAGUAGCAAUAAAUCACUGAUAUCGAUUAGGGGGGAAAUCAGGUUGUACGUGCUGUUGAAACUAACAGAACUAAAAAAAACACAUGGAAAUGGGAGAUAUAUUUUACCUCACUGAUUAGAGGACAACCUGCAGAAGACAGUCAGCUACAUUUUGGAGUGAUGCAUUUAAAUGUAGGGGUCACUAAACAAAGGAACACAACACUUAUUUGUCAUAACUCAUCGAUAUCAUGCUAAAAUCAUUUGGGUGAGAGGAGGGAGAUGAGGUUGCACGUCCUGUUAAACUAACAGCUCAAAAACCACACGGAAUCUGGGAAUAAUGUGUACAUCCCUGGUUAGAGGAGAAUUUGUAGAAAACAGCUCGCUACAUUUUGAAGUGUUGAAUUGUGAUUCAAGUGGGUCACCAACAAAACUAUUUUUGUGUUCGUCACUUUUUGUUAAAUCU